UGCAGUCAUGUGUUACUGACAGGGAUAUAUUCUGAGAAAUGUGUCCUUCGGUGAUUUAGUCAUAGUGUGAACAUCAUAGAGUGCACUUAGACCCAGAUGGUGUAGCCUACUACAUACCUAAGCUAUAUGGUAUAGCCUGUUAUGCCUAGACUAAAAAUCUGUGCAGCAUGUUACUGUACUGAGUACUGUAGGCAACUGUAACACAAUGGUAGGUACUUGUGUCUCUAAACAUAUCUAAAUAUAGAAAAGGGACAGUAAAAAUAUGGCAUAAAUGAUAAAAUAAUGGUACACCUCUAUGGGCGACUUACCAUAAACUGAGAUUGCAGGACUGGAAGUUGCUCUGGGUGAGUCAGUGAGUGAGUGGUGAAUGAAUGUGAAGGCAUAGGAUAUUACUGUACACUACUCUAGAGUUUACAAACUGUAUACUUAGGCUACACUAAAUUUAUAAAAAAUAUUUUUUCAAUAAUAAGCUUAGCUUACUAUAAAUUUUUACUUUAUAAGAUUUUUCAUUUUUAAAACUUUUUUGCUCUUUUGUGAUAAUAUUUAGCUUAAAACAAAAACACAUUUUUCUUUACAUUUUCUUUAUUACUUAUUCUAUAAGCUUGCUCUAUUUUUAAUUUUUUUAUUUUUAUUUUUUACUUUGUAAACUAGUUUUGUUAAAAACUAAGACUAACUAGCCUAGGCUAAUGCAUUGUCUCUGUGUCUUAGUCAUCACAUCAGAAUCAUCAAUAUCACUGUCUUCCACCUCCACAUCUUGUCCCACUGGAAAAUCUUCAGGGGCAGUAACAUCCAUGGAGCUGUCAUCCCUUAUGAUAACAAUGCCUUCUGGAAUACCUCCUGAAGGACCUGCUGAGAAGAUGCAGCAACAAGGUGCCAUCUUGGAAGCAGAGACAGGGCCUUCACCAGACACCAAACCCGAAGAUCCCUUCAUCCUGGACUUUCAGCCUCCAGAACUGUGAGAAAUAAAUUCCUAUUCUUUUAAAAUUA